UGUGGGAUCCGUUCCGCCUCCGGGCAGCGCGGUGAAUUCUACUGUCCGACACUGGAUCCGUGUCGGAUCCGCAGAAGUGGACGCGCCUUUACUGUAAAGGUUGAACUACAACCUCUUGGUGUGCUCUUGCUACGCUGAGACAAGAGUCAUAUCAGUGGAGAUUUUCUUUCCUGGGACACGGUUGCGCUGAACUAUCUGAGAUGCCUUUUCAUCUAAUUGAAUUUCAGGCAAGCGAGGACAUUGCUUUUGUGCCAGUUGACUGGUAUGAUGACGUGAUGGUGUACUGGCCCAGCUGAACGUGUGAAACGGGCAGCUGCUAACGAGGAGAAGCAUGAGCCAAACUGGCCAAGAUAUGACGUAAAGGUCGUCAGAACUUGUGACAACUACAAAGACGCCAUCAGGCUAAUGAAUCAGAGCAGGAGGGAUAGCUGCCAGAGAAAUGAUUCAGGAAGCCAAUCCAUCGUUUUGGGGACUCUGAUGAGAGUGAAGAAGAGCCAGAAAAUUCGGCUGGUGUAUCAGUUGGAGCCUCAAGCCCAAACCAAUUACACUGGCAGACUCCACCAUCUCACUGAGUGCCAUGCAGCAGAGUCACUACUCCUCAACCUGGAGGAAACUGUCUAGUACCUGACCAUGGGGCCGGACCCCAACACCCUUCACCACCUCAACUCCCUGCACCUGUAUUUAACAUGAGGAGAGUUACUCAAGGAACGGCAGUCCCUCCUCAACUCCCUCCACCUCCCGCACCGGCCCUCAACAUGAGGCGAACAGAGGAGCCCUCUUCAAGCCUGGCCUACAGACCAACAUGGCGAGGGGGAGGAAUGACCGAUACCAUUCCCUGCUCUGUGGCUGAGGUCCACAUCCUUAGCCUGCUGGAGACCAUUAAACAACAACAAGACCAGCUUGUGGCAAAGGUGAACUACCUCAGCAGCAGGCUGAACAGCAACCCGGGGCCAGAUGUUGAGAUGCCGGACAAUAUCCAGUUUCCCCUAGGACAAUUGGAGGCAGUGGAGGCAUUUGAAAUGUUUUUAAAGGAACCGUCAAAUGGCCCAGCUCGACAGAGCGUGGUGCUGUGAGGAAAAACACUGACACGGUCAGCCACGGACGCAGAGGUCACCAAGCAUGCAAUCAGGUGGUUCAACCUGGCAGCGGAUCGGGCAACGAGGAGACGUGUCCCGCCUCAAGCCACACAAACGGAGUAAUAGGAGAAAUAAGCAAUAAACAAUAUUUUUAUUGAA